CCCUUAGAUGUUCUGGGCUGCACGCGCGCUACACUGAUGCAUGCAACGAGUUUUCGACCUUGCCUGAAAAGGUUGGGUAAUCUGUUUAACAUGUGUCGUGAUGGGGAUAGACCAUUGCAAUUAUUGAUCUUCAACGAGGAAUUCCUAGUAAGCGCGAGUCAUCAGCUCGUGCUGAUUAUGUCCCUGCCCUUUGUACACACCGCCCGUCGCUCCUACCGGUUGAGUGAUCCGGUGAAUGAUUCGGACCAGCGUGCUGCUCAGAUCCUGCGCAGUGUGCUGGGAAGUCUAGUGAACCUUAUCACUUAGAGGAAGGAGAAGUCGUAACA
rnacentral:rRNA from 1 species